rnacentral:rRNA from 1 species
GACGAACGCUGGCGGCGUGCUUAACACAUGCAAGUCGAACGAUGAACCCGGAGCUUGCCCCGGUGGAUUAGUGGCGAACGGGUGAGUAACACGUGAGUAACCUGCCCUUGACUCUGGGAUAACUGCGGGAAACUGUAGCUAAUACCGGCUACGACCCUCGGCGGCAUCCCCAGGGGGUGGAACGAAUUGCGGUCAAGGAUGGACUAGCGGCAUAUCAGCUAGUUGGUGAGGUAACGGCUCACCAAGGCGACGACGGGUAGCCGGCCUGAGAGGGUGACCGGCCACACUGGGACUGAGACACGGCCCAGACUCCUACGGGAGGCAGCAGUGGGGAAUAUUGCACAAUGGGCGCAAGCCUGAUGCAGCAACGCCGCGUGAGGGAUGACGGCCUUCGGGUUGUAAACCUCUUUUAGUAGGGAAGAAGCGAAAGUGACGGUACCUGCAGAAAAAGCACCGGCUAACUACGUGCCAGCCGCCGCCGUAA